rnacentral:misc_RNA from 1 species
AAGUCGUAACAAGGUUUCCGUAGGUGAACCUGCGGAAGGAUCAUUAAAGAAUUCCGGCUUCGCGGCCAAGUUCUCACCCUUUGUAUACCGAAAUAGUCUUUUGGAGGCCCCCGCAUUUUCUUGGGGCCCUGCCAGAGGUUAUAAACCCUAGAAUCUCUGCUGUCUGAGUACUAUGCAAUAGUUAAAA